GCUUACAACAAGCUGGUGAUUAAGAACAGAGCAUCGUAGCCCCAGGAAGAGCCUUCUAGUACCCACUUGCUGGGAUGGACCACCUUUUUUAGUUCUACGCCAGUUCCUGCUGAGGUGCAGUUGCUGCUGCCACAGCAGUUUGUUUCAUUCUCUCCGAGGGGUGCCAGGGACUCAGCCCCCAAGCGUUGACCACUUAAUAGGAAGAUCCACAAAUAAAACCAGAAGAGAAAUGGAAGAUCCUCCGAAAAGGAAAAACGCAGGCUAGAGAGAUGGAUAGGCCGUAUCGAGUACUGGAUGAUCUUCCAAUGGAUUGAGGUUCAGUUCCCAGCACCCACAUGAUAGCUAACGACCAUCUGUAACUCCGGUUCCAACGAAUCUGAUGCUCUCUUCUGGACCCCAAAGUUGCCGGUCACACACCUGGCACACGGCCGUACGCACAGACGAUAUACCCAUACAUAGAAAAUAACUUUUAAGGAGGAAAGUAGAAGUACCUUAUGAUCCAGCACUCACACUAUUGGGUAAUAGAGCCAUAGAAAGUAAAAAUCAAUGUCUUGAUGAGACAUCUGCACUUUUCCGUGUUUACGGCGCCACCCGGGAAAUUAGAGGUGAAGGAACAUAAAUAGCCUUCAACUGAUGAAAAGAUAAAGAAAUGGUACAUCCAAAUAUGUAGUACUAUUAAACCGUAAAAGUGAAAUUCUGUCAUCUAAGACACGAAUAUAAUCAGACGGCCUUACAUGAGAAAGAU
rnacentral:lncRNA from 1 species